rnacentral:rRNA from 1 species
AUUGAACGCUGGCGGUAGGCCUAACACAUGCAAGUCGAGCGGAUGAAGGGAGCUUGCUCCUGGAUUCAGCGGCGGACGGGUGAGUAAUGCCUAGGAAUCUGCCUGGUAGUGGGGGAUAACGUCCGGAAACGGGCGCUAAUACCGCAUACGUCCUGAGGGAGAAAGUGGGGGAUCUUCGGACCUCACGCUAUCAGAUGAGCCUAGGUCGGAUUAGCUAGUUGGUGGGGUAAAGGCCUACCAAGGCGACGAUCCGUAACUGGUCUGAGAGGAUGAUCAGUCACACUGGAACUGAGACACGGUCCAGACUCCUACGGGAGGCAGCAGUGGGGAAUAUUGGACAAUGGGCGAAAGCCUGAUCCAGCCAUGCCGCGUGUGUGAAGAAGGUCUUCGGAUUGUAAAGCACUUUAAGUUGGGAGGAAGGGCAGUAAGUUAAUACCUUGCUGUUUUGACGCUACCAACAGAAUAAGCACCGGCUAACUUCGU